AAACUUACUACCCUUGACAUGUCUGGAAAGCCGAAGAGAUUUGGCCGUGCUCGCAAGAGAACCGGAACACAGGUGCUGCAUGGCUGUCGUCAGCUCGUGUCGUGAGAUGUUGGGUUAAGUCCCGCAACGAGCGCAACCCUUGUCAUUAGUUGCUACGCAAGAGCACUCUAAUGAGACUGCCGGUGACAAACCGGAGGAAGGUGGGGAUGACGUCAAGUCCUCAUGGCCCUUAUGGGUAGGGCUUCACACGUCAUACAAUGGUCGGGACAGAGGGUCGCCAACCCGCGAGGGGGAGCCAAUCUCAGAAACCCGAUCGUAGUCCGGAUCGCAGUCUGCAACUCGACUGCGUGAAGUCGGAAUCGCUAGUAAUCGCGGAUCAGAAUGUCGCGGUGAAUACGUUCCCGGGUCUU
rnacentral:rRNA from 1 species